rnacentral:lncRNA from 1 species
UGUCACGACUAGGGGUAGUUGCUGGGCCCCAGCGUCAAGCACAUACAGGUGACAAAUUCCGUCUCUGAGUGAGGGCCCAAAGAAGCUCUCGGCUCAAUAAACGGAGAUGUGUGUGAUGUACACACAUGUGCAGGGUACUAGUGGGAGACAGGGCAAGGGAACCCAGAGGUGUUGCUGGACUGAUCCUAGAAGAUGCAGAGUAUUAGCCUGACAGAGGAAGGACAUUCCAGGAUGAGAAAUGUCUGGAGACACAGCCCUGAGGACAGAAAUUCCCCAGGGCUCUCAGUGGCCAGGGGCCAAGCAUGGCAGCAGAAAUCCAAUGUGAGGCUGUUGGCCAAAGCCAGGCACAGGAAGGGUGUGCCAUGGUCAGCACUUUUGGGGUUACCAUUAAAAGAUGUACCCCGAAGAGGGGUAGGGUCUAACAUGCAUUUUAAGAAAAGUUCACUUUGUCUUAACAGAUGGAAUUAUGAGAGGACAAGAUUGAAGAUGGAGGUAAAGGUUGGGGGGAUGGCCUUUUGAGAGAAAUAGAAAAUCAGUAAUGGGCACAGUAUUAGGUAUGCAAAGGAUUAUUUAGGAGAAAAUAAAUUAGGGUCAGUUAUUGUAGUUGCUGUAAGAAGCGAUCUCAAAUCAGAGUGGCAUCACAUGUUGAGAGUUUAUUUCUUAUUCACUUCCCAGUCCACUGUGGGCCUGCAUGGGGCCUGGGGUAUGGGGAAGGAGAACUCUGCUCCACACAGUCAUUCAGGAAUCCUGGCUCUUUCAGGCAGAAGUUCUGCCAUUCCCUUGGGCCCUGGAGUUUUCAGCUAGUUCUCUGCAGAGGACCAGCAAAGGGGUGAGGGGAAGAAAUAGGAUGGAGCAUCCUGCAGGAGGUUUAGGGUCCAGGUCUGGGGGGUGGCCAGCACAUCACUCACAUGCAUAUUUUGGUGGCCAGAACUCAGACAUGUGGCCCCAUCUAACUUGAGGGAGGCUGGAAUAUAUAGUCCAGCUGAGAGCCCAGAACAAAAAGGAACUGGGUCUGGCAAACACAGCACACUGACUUUGCCACAACAUGUUUAGGAGGUAAAAUCUUUGGGGGCUCAGUAAUUGAUUCAACGUGGAAGAAGGAGAGAGGAAAGUUCAGAGAGCUUCCAGGUUUCCACCAGGGAGGUCGGAACAGGUUGCCUUAGACGGUGACCGCAGGAGCCACUGCCUGAGCAAGGAAGAUGGUGCAUUCAUUUUAAAAUCGCUGUGUAGCUUAACAUUCACUGCCUGUUUUAACAUGUGUCCUGCAUUCCAUUUAUUGGAGAAAUGUUUCUUUUUCUUUAUUUUUUUAAAUGAAUAUAAUUUACAAUGUAAAAGGUCAAAUAAAAUGAAAAUGAAACAGAAAAAUCCUCACUUUUCAAUAUUCCUUUCUCAUCUAAUGAAGACCCCUUCCCUUCUCUAUUUCUCCUGGCUACCUGCCUUAGGCCUAAAGCAACAACCAGAAGCCUUCCUGGGUGUUUACAUUACAGCACACCAGACUACAGGCACCGCCGCCCCUGACACUGCCUGCAGCUGAAGUCACCAAGUUUGCCGUGCCCCAUAACUGAGGUCAUUGGCAGCCCAGCACCAAGCCUCACUGGCAUCGAGGGCAGCAGGUUAGUAAGCAUGGCUCCACACGGGUAAGCAGUUCUAGGAAAUGGGAAGAAACCCAGACCAUCCAUCUCAGGGUAAGUUUGCUGGAUUUUCUCUCUGUUUUAAGAGUCUUUCAACAGGUCAUACAGCCCAUUCUCAAAUUCAGAUUUCUGUUUUUGUUAAGAACAGGGACUGUGGAACGAAUUUGCCUGACUUUGCCGUCAUUCUGCCAUUUCCUAGCUAUGUGGCCUCAGGCAAACUGAUUAAACUUACUGGCCUCAGAAUGGGGAAAAUUGUUGUAACUCAUGCUUGGGAUUACGUGAAGAUGAAAAGCAGGCAUGUCCAUGAAGUGCUUACAAGGGGGACCAGCGCGAUGUACCUAUUCUGUGCAUCCUACCCGUCCACUGUUCCUUCUCCGUGGCUCUUGAAGAAGCUGGAGUUUUCUUUCAGUCUUCUGCUUCUCCUGUUGCUUCCUCUAACUGAAGGAAGAAUCAGUCCAUGGCUUCUGCUCCAUGCUUUCUGCUCUUGGUUCGGGCUCCAACUUCCCCAUUAAUGGAAGAGAAUGGCUCUCCUGCUCCCAGCUAUAAUGAACUAAUUAAUUUUUCUAUUUCUCUAAUCAUUCUCUAUUCCCUGCCAAACCCUCUGGGUGUCUGUUUUGUUCUAUUGUUCAAGCCUGGACUUUGAGGGUAGGCUGGGGGCAUUGCUAGUCCCCACAAUUGCUAAUCCAGGCACUUGAGUCAUUAUCUUCUCUACAUCACACUUAACAACCAGAGGGAAGUGCAGCCUCGUGGGCCUCGGAAAGGAAACCACCCACAGACUUGUGCGCCUUCUUCGCAGGCCAGGCUUUCCUUCCCCCAUGGUAAGAAGGUGAAGACUUGGAGAUUGGUGAGUCAGGCAAUCAAGGUCAAAUUGACAUACUCUAGAAGAUUACAUGCCGUGUGGAACAGUGCUGGGCAGGGGACCCACUGGGACAGGGGCUCAGGGGGCUAUGGCAGUCCCGCAGGAGAUUCUGGAGUAACAGACAUCCCCAGGACCUCAGCGGCUCAUAGGAACGACAUGGCACACAUUGGUGGUGGCUCUCCUCCCAGGCAGUACCCCACAUCUUGUCUUCCGUGUUUGGGCACCCAGGCUGGAGUAGCAACCCAUCUCAGUCAAUGGCAAAGGAAGAGGGGCUGUGUGUGAGCAGCAGGGAACAACUUUCAGCUUAUAAUUCGGGACUUACAGGAAAGAAAAGAAAAUGUCUACUCUCCUAAGAGAAAUCUGAUCAUCUGCCGGCAUAAAUGUUGGUUGACCUUGACUCUUCUCUUUGAAUGCCUGAAAACCUGAACAAGGCAGUUGGGGCCAGGACAGCCCAGAAAGGCAGGUUUGAGUGGGGGUCCUGGCAUUUACAGAAACAUUCUAGUGUCCAUGGUGAUCCUACCGGAAAGCCAGUGUCAAGAACCACUGAGCCCCAGGACGCAGGUUUCCUUGCCUCUAUCAAGAUACAGGCCCCGCUACAGUACUGCUGAGAGCAAGAAAUAGAAGCACCUGCAAGACAGUGCAGCCCUCACAAGCUAGACAUUUGAUGUCAUGGGAAAACUUGCACCCAGGCAGUUGAGUGCACUUGUUCAGCAGACCUGUUGGGGAAAAUGGGAAGAGGGAGCAUAUCUGGCUGACCUUGAGGACAGAAAGGAACUCUCAUCAAAAUUACUUGACCAAGAGAACAUUCCAGGUGCCCAACUCUGCCAAACAUAAUAGCAAAUAUGUACCAGGAAAGUAAGAAAAACUUAUGGGUU